GCCUGGCUGGCUUAGUCAGUGGAGUGUGCAACUCUUAAUUUCAGGGUUGUGAGUUCAAGCCCCAUGUUGGGUG
rnacentral:tRNA from 1 species